GAUUAUGGCUCAGGAUGAACGCUACGCGGCAGGCUUAACACAUGCAAGUCGAGGGGCAACGCGAGUAGCAAUACUUGGCGGCGACCGGCGCAAGGGUGCGUAACGCGUGAGCAACAUGCCCGUAUCAGGGGGAUUAAUCCGAGGGAAACUUUGGUCUAAUACCCCAUAGUAAUUUUUGUAAGGCAUCUUAUAAGAGUUUUAAAGCUUUUGGUGGAUACGGAUUUGGCUCGCGUGACAUUAGCUGGAUGGUAAGGUAACGGCUUACCAUGGCUAUGAUGUCUAGGGGUUCUGAGAGGAAGGUCCCCCACACUGGAACUGAGACACGGUCCAGACUCCUACGGGAGGCAGCAGUGAGGAAUAUUGGACAAUGGAUGGAAAUCUGAUCCAGCCAUGCCGCCGUGAAGGAAGAAGGUCCUAUGGAUUGUAACUUCUUUUGUAUGGGAGCAAUAAGGCCUACGAGUAGGUUGAUGAGAGUACCAUACGAAUAAGCACCGGCUAACUCCGUGCCAGCCGCCGC
rnacentral:rRNA from 1 species